rnacentral:rRNA from 1 species
AAUCUUGUGCCAGCCACCGCGGUCACACAAGAGACCCAAAUUAACGAUUACACGGCGUAAAGAGUGGCACUACGCUAUCCUCAAAACUAAGACUAAAGUACAACUAAGCUGUCAUAAGCUCAAGAUGCUACUAACCCCUCCCCUCAACACGGUCUUAGUCUAUCAGACCAACUUAUUACCACGAAAGCUAAGACACAAACUGGGAUUAGAUACCCCACUAUGCUUAGCCCUAAAUCUCGAUGUCCCACCUUACUAGGACAUCCGCCUGAGAACUACGAGCACAAACGCUUAAAACUCUAAGGACUUGGCGGUACCCCAAACCCACCUAGAGGAGCCUGUUCUAUAAUCGAUAACCCACGUUGCACCCGACCGCUCUUUGCCAAAUCAGCCUACAUACCGCCGUCGCCAGCUCACCUUCACUGAAAGUACUACAGUGAGCAUAAUAGCCCGCCCGCUAAUAAGACAGGUCGAGGUAUAGCCCAUAGAGCGGAAGAAAUGGGCUACACUCUCUAAAGUAGAGAAAUUCACGGAAGGGGGCGUGAAAUAGCCCCUAGAAGGCGGAUUUAGCAGUAAAACGGAACAAUAAAGUCCCUUUUAAGCUGGCUCUGGGGUACGUACAUACCGCCCGUCACCCUCCUCACAAGCUAUCUAUCCACCAUAAGUAAUUCCCCACACAGCUGAAGAAGAGGUAAGUCGUAACAAGGUAAGUGUACCGGAAGGUGCACUUAGCACAA